rnacentral:rRNA from 1 species
AUUGAACGCUGGCGGCAGGCCUAACACAUGCAAGUCGAGCGGAUGAAGGGAGCUUGCUCCUGGAUUCAGCGGCGGACGGGUGAGUAAUGCCUAGGAAUCUGCCUGGUAGUGGGGGAUAACGUCCGGAAACGGGCGCUAAUACCGCAUACGUCCUGAGGGAGAAAGUGGGGGAUCUUCGGACCUCACGCUAUCAGAUGAGCCUAGGUCGGAUUAGCUAGUUGGUGGGGUAAAGGCCUACCAAGGCGACGAUCCGUAACUGGUCUGAGAGGAUGAUCAGUCACACUGGAACUGAGACACGGUCCAGACUCCUACGGGAGGCAGCAGUGGGGAACAUUGGACAGUGGGCGAAAGCAUGAUACAGCCAGGCCGCGUGUGUGAAGAAGGUCUUCGGAUUGUAAAGAACUUUAUGGUGGGAGGAAGGGCAGUAAGUUAAUACCUUGCUGUUUUGACGUUACCAACAGAAUAAGCACCGGCUAACUUCGUG